rnacentral:lncRNA from 1 species
GGUAAAACAUGUAAAUGUCUCGACAAUUGUAUCGAAAUUGAAAGUUGGUGUUGACAUUCACAACUAUUUACGCAUUUACAAGUUAAUUGUUCUUAUUAGAAUAUAAAAGUUGUCUUUUAAAUAGGAAAAAAUCGAUGCGAAAAUUAUUUUGGAGCAGGAAUUUCAGAUGUUGAGAAAUUUACACUGAAUGUUGAUAAAACAAAACAAAGAUUUUCGUUACCGUGUCAGUUCAAAAUCGAUCAUGCCCGCUU